CAGCGACGCCGCGUGAGGGAUGACGGCCUUUCGGGUUGUAAACCUCUUUCAGUAGGGAAGAAGCGAAAGUGACGGUACCUGCAGAAGAAGCGCCGGCUAACUACGUGCCAGCAGCCGCGGUAAUACGUAGGGCGCAAGCGUUAUCCGGAAUUAUUGGGCGUAAAGAGCUCGUAGGCGGUUUGUCGCGUCUGCCGUGAAAGUCCGGGGCUCAACUCCGGAUCUGCGGUGGGUACGGGCAGACUAGAGUGAUGUAGGGGAGACUGGAAUUCCUGGUGUAGCGGUGAAAUGCGCAGAUAUCAGGAGGAACACCGAUGGCGAAGGCAGGUCUCUGGGCAUUAACUGACGCUGAGGAGCGAAAGCAUGGGGAGCGAACAGGAUUAGAUACCCUGGUAGUCCAUGCCGUAAACGUUGGGCACUAGGUGUGGGGGACAUUCCACGUUUUCCGCGCCGUAGCUAACGCAUUAAGUGCCCCGCCUGGGGAGUACGGCCGCAAGGCUAAAACUCAAAGGAAUUGACGGGGGCCCGCACAAGCGGCGGAGCAUGCGGAUUAAUUCGAUGCAACGCGAAGAACCUUACCAAGGCUUGACAUGAACCGGAAAUACCUGGAAACAGGUGCCCCGCUUGCGGUCGGUUUACAGGUGGUGCAUGGUUGUCGUCAGCUCGUGUCGUGAGAUGUUGGGUUAAGUCCCGCAACGAGCGCAACCCUCGUUCUAUGUUGCCAGCGCGUUAUGGCGGGGACUCAUAGGAGACUGCCGGGGUCAACUCGGAGGAAGGUGGGGACGACGUCAAAUCAUCAUGCCCCUUAUGUCUUGGGCUUCACGCAUGCUACAAUGGCCGGUACAAAGGGUUGCGAUACUGUGAGGUGGAGCUAAUCCCAAAAAGCCGGUCUCAGUUCGGAUUGGGGUCUGCAACUCGACCCCAUGAAGUCGGAGUCGCUAGUAAUCGC
rnacentral:rRNA from 1 species